CCUACGGGAGGCUGCAGUGGGGAAUAUUGCGCAAUGGGGGAAACCCUGACGCAGCGACGCCGCGUGAGCGAAGAAGGCCUUAGGGUUGUAAAGCUCUGUUUUAGGGGACGAAUGUUACGGGGAGUAAUAUGCCCUGUAAAUGACGGUACCCUAAGAGGAAGCCCCGGCUAACUACGUGCCAGCAGCCGCGGUAAGACGUAGGGGGCGAGCGUUGUCCGGAAUUACUGGGCGUAAAGAGCACGUAGGCGGGAACUUAAGUCAGGUGUGAAAGACCGAGGCUCAACCUCGGGUAUGCACUUGAAACUGGGUUUCUUGAGGGCAGGAGAGGAAAGCAGAAUUCCUGGUGUAGCGGUGAAAUGCGUAGAAAUCAGGAGGAAUACCAGUGGCGAAGGCGGCUUUCUGGACUGACCCUGACGCUGAGGUGCGAAAGCGUGGGUAGCAAACAGGAUUAGAUACCCGAGUAGUC
rnacentral:rRNA from 1 species